UGUCCAGGGAUGGGAAUCGAACCCACAGUGUUCCGCUUACCGGGCAGAUGCCAUGUCCACUAGGCUACCCGUUGUUAC
rnacentral:tRNA from 1 species